UUAUGCAUGGUUUAUAUUUAGACGUAAAAUUAUUUCUGAUAUAGAUAGGUGUUUGACAUUACGUUGAACUCUCAUACGUCGGGAACCUCCACCUGUGUAAUUAUUUUGUAGUAGUAGGCAAGUGCGGUGCUGGAUAAUGAUAGCCAUUUUUAUUACAAACGCUUCAUUUUUCUUCUUCACUUUCUAUAUCAGUCCUCUGCCCAAAGGUUGCCUGAAAGAAAUCGCUGCAUUAGCGAUAAGGCCGCCUGUUGGAAUUGAUGUAACUGUGUUACUUACAAUUGUAAUUCUGUAUUUUAUCAAUUACGUAUUGGUGUGCAAAAAGUAUAAAUAAAUAAAAUAAAUUAAUGUUAUCGAACAUUUCAUUUAGUCUUGAUUUAUAAAUUCAAAUUAAACAUUUAACACCUUAUUACAAUAUGGCAUAUCAAUUGAAUGAUAGGAGUUAUGAUGUCAUGUACCCAUAUGAU
rnacentral:misc_RNA from 1 species